UACGUAGGGGGCAAGCGUUGUCCGGAAUCAUUGGGCGUAAAGAGCGUGUAGGCGGCCCGGUAAGUCCGUUGUGAAAGUCGAGGGCUCAACCCUCGAAUGCCGGCGGAUACUGUCGGGCUAGAAUCCGGAAGAGGCGAGUGGAAUUCCUGGUGUAGCGGUGAAAUGCGCAGAUAUCAGGAGGAACACCAAUGGCGAAGGCAGCUCGCUGGGACGGUACUGACGCUGAGGCGCGAAAGCGUGGGGAGCGAACAGG
rnacentral:rRNA from 1 species